rnacentral:rRNA from 1 species
AUGUCUAGUUUAACCGCGCAUAAAGGUUUCUUACGUUUCCUGGUUCUUAUGGCAUGUCACACUCAUACGCUACCAAGACAUUAUCCGUGA